rnacentral:lncRNA from 1 species
AUAGAGGUGCAAGUGUGAUGUUCAGUGCAAAGCACGGCAGUAGCGAAAACGCCACAAAGAUCCAAGACUAUUUUUCAACUGAUACCUAGAAUCCUUUAAUUAGAUUCAGAGGCAGAGCGUUAAGAUUUGGCCAAAUCGGAACUGCAACUCAGAAAUAACUUAGGACAGUUAAUAGGUGAUUUUUUUAAAUGUAUAGUUAUAGCUAUCGCACAUCAUUUUUACAAAGUCGUGCAUUAACUAAUGGAGCAGAAGCACCACCUAUUAAGAUUCAAAUUCAGAAACAUAAUCUAAUACUACAAACUUUCCUUCACAAUAUGCUUCAUUAUUUUACAUUCAAUGUUCGUAUCAUAUGAAGCCAUGAAUCUAUAUAACUUGAAAGCAACUUAUCCAAUCACGAACACACUCACAAAACAAAUCCAACUAGUUUUUAUUCUUUUUUUAUUUCCCGCCAGUCAGCUGAAAAAAAUAAAAGAAUCUCUAGUUCAGUUUUCCACAUAAUUAAAACAAGAAGAAACUCUCAAGCCGCCUUAACUUACACAGCGGGCCCCAUGCCUGGCGCUGGGAGGAAUGGCGAGGCUGUCCUGUCCCUAGGGCAGAGGGCUUGCGGGGCUGAGCACCUGAGCACAAGUACUUCGUGGUCAAGAGUGUUCCACAUUGCUGACAUUCAGCUCAGCCUCAGAAGCACCCUUGACAACUACCGAUGGCCACAGCCAAAUGGUUACCUGUAAAGUGGCCACUGCACCGUUUUCAGACAUGAAAUGGCCAAUGCUUUAGUUAAGAAUGUGCACCAGCCUGCAGUUCUUCACUGAGGUAUUUUGUCACAGUGACAGAAAGCUGAGCAUCACAAACACAAGGAAGAAGGUCAUGGUAAAUGCAAGCAGAGACUGGAGUGAAGCAGCUAUAAGCCAUGAAUGCUGGGGAGCGUUGGAGCCACCAGAAGCUAUGAAGAGCCAAGGAAGGCUUACUUCUUCCUAGAGUUUUUACCUGGAGUAUAGCCCUACUGCUACCUUGAUUUCAGACUUUUAGCCACCAAAUAAGUGAUGGAAUAAAUUUCUGCUGUUUUAAACCAUUUAGUUUGUGGGAAUUUGUCAUAGCAGCUCCAGGAAAUGAAUAUAUGCAAAACCACCCAUUGAUUACCUAUUGUAUUUUAGGAUUAAUAAACAAGGCUG